AUUCUCCCAUGGACAUAGCUACUGCCUUGUGGGAGGUGGAGUACCUACCUCGACAGGAGAAGCCUUCCUGUUGGCGUAGGUAGCAUCUUUACUGAAGAUGCAGCUGUGCUGCUGCAGCAUUGCUGCAGAAUGACAUCCACAUCUUGCUCCAGAUCCUCCCAUCCUCCCAGGGCACAGGGAAGAGACAUAGCUGCUGCAGUGGUGCUGGCUCAGAGGCUGGUGACCUUCGAGGAGGUGGCUGUGUAUUUUACUGAAGAGCAAUGGGCUCUGCUGGACCCCCGUCAGAGAGCCCUCUACAGGGACGUCAUGCAGCAGAACUAUGAGAAUGUGACCUCGCUGGGUAAGGAUUCCUGUCCCCUCGGGUAUUAGAAGGAGUGGAGGGUCUCUGAAGCAUCCGGGUCGGCUUCUGCUCAGGGUUCAUCCCCGGUCCCUUAGAUUUCAGGAGGAUCAGCCCCAGAAACCAUGUGAGAGAGACUGUUCCCUCCUGAUACCCCUCUCAGGGGAGAGGAGAUUCAGAGACAUAGUGGAGAAGCUCAUCCCCAGAACUUCCAAGGGAGGGGAUGGGCUGUAUGUAGCACUUUGUGUUUCUAAACACGGGCUCACACACAGAGAGAUGUCUCCUCUCCAUCCUUUCCCAGGACUAUCUCCAUGGCUGGAAAGGGCUGUGGUCUCAGCAGGGCUAGGAAGGAGUAAGAGGUUGCACAACUGUGUUGUGCCAAAGUCAUAAAAAACCCAGUGUGUGGAGUUCGCAGAACCUCCUGCAGGGGGAGCUGUGCACCUCCCAAGAACCAUCUGACCUCCCCACAGUGUCUUCAGGAACAUCUGUUUGGUUUAUGCAGCUCUGGUUGAUGAAGGCAGCUGUGUUGAUAUAGUAUACUUGGAUUUCUUCAGGGCAUUUGACUUGGUACCACAUGACAUUUUGAUUUAAAAAGCUUGUCAUAUAGGGAAUAAACAAGAUCACACAGUAGAUGGAUUCACAGCUGGCUCAUUUACGGAUCUCAAAAUGUUUUUGUUAAUGGGGAGAAAUCAAUGAGCAGGGCUGUUUCUAGUGGGUGCCCUAGGGAUCAGUUCUUGGUCCAACACUACUUAAUAUUUUCAUCAACAAUCUUCAUGAUGAUGUAAAAUCUUUGCUGGUAAGUUUUGUGGAUGACACAAAGAUUAGUGGAGUAUCAAUAACAAGGAGGACAGGUUAUCGUUACCAAGUGAUCUGAAUUUCCUGCUUAAAUGGUCAUAAUCCAAUAAAAUGUGUUUUAGUACCUGCACAGCCAAAUGCAAGGUAAUACAUCUGAGAAAACAAGAAUUCAGAUUAUACCUACAGCAUGAAAAAUCUGGGCUUGGCUACUCUACAGAGGCUAGAGCAGCAUAGCUACUGCACUGUAGCUGCGCUGGCAUAACCCCAUAGAUGUAGCCAAAUCUGACCUUCUGAAAUAAAAAAUCAUAGUUGAUGACCUGGGUUUCAUUAUCUUUCCUUUUAAUUUAAACUGAAUCAACCUGUGACUAGAGCCAAGGUUAUUUCCUACGACCACCUCGUCUAUGAUGUCCUCACUACUUACUAAAACCAAAUCUAAAAUUGCAUCAACUCUGUUGGUUUGGUGACCAUUUGAUGAAGAAACUGUCGACAUUGUAGAUAAUCAUGCAGCACUGUGGCAAAAAGGACUCAUGCGAUCCUUGGGUGUAUAAAAAGGGGAGUAUCCGGCAGAAGCGAGGAAGAGAUCGUGCCUGUAUACGCAGCAUUGGUGAGACCACUGCUGGAAUACUGCCUCCAGUUCUGGUGUCCACACUGCAAGAAGGAUGUGGGAACAUUGGAGAGAGUUCAAAGGAGGGACACAACAACGACCGUGGGGCUGGAAGACAGUCCUUUCCAUUGGAGGAGCUCAACGUAUCCAGCUUAUUGAAGAGAAGGUUGA